UCUGGUGGGAGCCCAGAGCGGCCUGGACCCAGUGGGGUCCUGGUGGGAGCCGGGGACGGGAGGGGGAAGCGUGGAGUGGGGAGAGGCCUGGGGAUCAGUUUUGGGGAGGCCGGGGUAGCCAGCCCGCCUGGGUUGUGACGACCGGGAGCGGGGCUCCAGCUGUUUGCUUAAGAUGUUGGGAUUGCUGUGGCACACAGAGUGCCCUGUGCCCCGCGGCCUCAGCCUCACAGGGUGGCCUCCUGUUUCCUGGGACUUCUCAAGAAACAAAACAGGCUAGCGAGGCAAAGAAAAUACCGCCGUCUGCCCUUCUCUGUGAACAGAGGGCAAGUAUAUCGUGGACACGGGGAAGAAAGUCCCUCCUGGUCCCUGUAGAAAAACACUGUGCGGUCUCCAGUCUUUGUUUUGGUUUUGGGAACGCAUUCUUGAAAAGCGCUGUUUCACCAAAGGAAGUUUAAGCAACGUUCCAGUUUGCUACAGGAAAGCUACAGAGGGACGCCUCUUCAGGAAGGACGAGACUCGCGGAUCCACACACGCUGGCCUCUACGUAGACCGACAUCGUCCUUUCCUGUGGCGGGAGUUGAUUCAGGUUUCCAGAGUCCGGUAUUAGCAAGAUGAAUGAGCCUCUUCCUUUUUUUUCUCUCUUUCCCCUGCAGUUUUGAAACGUGAUUCCUAACUCUGAGUGGAUGCUCUUUUCACGCUCAGCUGGGUUCCUAACUCCUGAAAUAUUAAUCUGUGGGAGUUGCCGGCAGACCCAUAGUGGGCGCCCAUUACCAAGCUCCUGGCUGCCCAAAGGACACUUGAUAAGGGGACUUUACUCUGUGCCUGUCUUCCUGGUUCUGGGGGCUCUGGCAGAGCAGCCCUUGCACCCAGAGAAGUGGCCCCUCUCCUGGCCUUUUGUCCUGCCUCUGCAGUGCGGAAUCCCCUGGUCUCAGCCUGGAACAUUGGCCCCAAGUGCAUUUGCUUAGACCUCUGAAAACGAAUUCAUGAAAGUGGUGUUGUCAGCCAACCCAAUCCCAGCGCCCUCUCCAGUUGUGAGUUCAUUGACUGCCCCCCCCCCCACCCCAAACAAGGCCUUGUUCUCAACGUUGACUUCCUCUGCAUUUUCUUUUUUGCCUAAACACGGUUUCACACUCCUCGCUUCUGCUACACUGCUUAGCACACCAGCAAACUGGUUACAAAACCCAGCACGAGAAUGUUUAGGACUGUGGAAUAUGCACCACGUGGGGAUGUGAAAACAUAAGCAAGAUUUACAAGGCCCGCAGCACCGUCCUGAGAGCGGGCUGGGCUGGGCUGGGCCCGUUGUGUGGCUCUUGCGACUUGGUGGCUGCACCUCAGAGCAGGGCUCCCGAGGGUCCCCGGAGACCUUCAAUCUGGUAAGCCAAUUUCAGAGCCCGAGUCUGGUUGCAAGUGGAUUCAUUUGAACUAUAAUAUAAAAUAUUGUGUUUAUUUAACCCCUGUAAGCUGAUCUCCUUUGUCGUCGUGAACUGGCUGGGCAGCUAAGAACCCACAUUCCUUCCAUAGUUAAUAAAACUUCAUAUUUUUCUCUGUAUUCAUAAAUUUAAUUACGCUCAGACCCUUUUAAUCUAUAUCGGUUUUUCAAAAUUUACCUAGAUUAAGAAAACACGAGCCCCUCCCCCUUCCACACGCAACAUAAUCAUAAUCUUUGGAUUAAAAGGCACAACUUGAGAAUUCAUUUUGCCAGUUUCGUCAACAAAUCAUCUUGUAUCUUUUUUGAUUUUCUGACCUGGAGACGGUAGACAUGUAAAUUGACUUGGCCAUGAUUCCUCCCAAGAUUUAUACUUUAAAUGCCUGCAUUGUUUAGCCGUAUUAAAACAAAACAAAACCACCAAGGGAAGAGCAAAAAAGCUGUUUCUAACUUACUUCACCCAUGACUCUUUGUAAAUUCUUUGAAGCAUUCAGCUUGUAUUUGGGAUUGGUACAUCUUCUCUGAAAGUCAAGAAGGUGAGAGACCUCAGGGAUGCCCCUACCCAGAGGAAUCUUGGGACGCGAGAUCAGUAGUGCUUCCUUGGCCCCUCCCAGGUGCUUUCUGAAAAUCAGUGAUAUUUCUGUAAAGGGUUUUGUGCCUGUUGAGAGACAUAAGUGCAAUUUAUCAGCAUCUAGGUACUCUGUGUCCCCAGGCACCCGCGUACAGAUGAAAGCUUAUCGUCUGGCUCCUGGCAGAAAUCCUUCCCAGUGCGACCUCCUUCGCGCGAAUCUUCUCUAAACGACAUCUGUUCAAAUGGUGCUUCAGAACCGUCUUCUCAGGUGUAAUGAAGGACACCAAGACUCCCUGUUAAUUGAAAUGUUUGUCUUCAUUUCCAAAGCUUGGCGUUCUCCCCCCUUCCUUACCUGUUUCUUUGGAGCGUUUUUAGAAUUCCGUCUGGGCAGACCCAUCUGCCAAGCGUCCCCUCCUCUGUUCAUAUCUUUUGGCCACCAUUUGGCUUUGCCCUGAUUUGGUCUGUGAGAGAGAAAUCUCUGUUUCCACCAAAAGAAAGAAAAGAAAUAAAAGCUGAAACAGAAUGAAACCUUUAUGUAUUGCAGCAGAUUAUUUUUCCCCCUAUUUCAUCGUUCGUUGAAAUUCUUACAAGAACACCACACUCAAGCGUUUGGUCCGAGGAAGGCUUUAAACUAAGAGGCCCCUCGCAGCUUUCCCAUCUGGAAGUCAGCUAGCGCUCGGCUCUUUGGAACCCGGGAGAGGAACAGUCGUUCGUUUUCCUUUUCUGCCUCCAAGGAGCGUUGCUGCAGGGAGAGCCACUCCGAAGUGUUCUCCCUUUCCAGUAACGCUCAGGGGCGUACUGUGCAUCACAACUCUAAAAUCUGCGACCAGGUUUCCAUCACAAACCCGGACAACACUCUUUCCCCAGUCUUCUUUGUCUGGAGAUACCAGAGGGGAGAAGGGCCGGUGACACGUCAAAACUCACGUGUGUUCUCUGUGUCGACUCCGCUGGCUGUUUAGCUGUAAGAUCACUGGACGGAGAAGGAUGGCCUUUCAGGCCAAUGUGCCGUAGGCCACGUGUUCCCUCCUUAGCCGCCAUGUGAGGGCCGUGACCAUGUCUUUGACCCGAUGGAAUGGGUGUUUGCUGGGUCAUCUGGCCAUGCGCUUAAAACUUCCAAGUGAUAAUGAUAAAAACAUGCAGAAGUGUUUGCGUGAGGACGGGUAGGGCUUCACCGCCGUUGAGGUUCAGGACGCACUGCCAGCGCGUGACAUGGGACUGUUGGUGACUCUACGAAAUGCUCGGCGAACGUGGAGUGCCCUACCAGAGCUAUGAACAAGAUGCUGACAGAAUGAUUUGUAUCUCUUUGUCUGCCCUUGUGGGCAAUACAUUUCAUGGCCGCCUUAUUUGCCACCAUAUAACCUGUUCCUGCUACACUGCCUGAUGAAUAAGAGGCAUUCUUUGACUAUGUGCUCAGUGAAUGAAUCAAUGAACGGAUUUGCCGCUUAAACACACUUGCUGUCGUUACAAUUGCAGUACUAGAAGCACGCUGGUACAUCUCCUGGUGUGGAACAGACGUACGGAUUCUGUAAAGGGAACAAAUCUUCCGGCACCCGUGUCACUGCAGACGAGUGAGUGGGGCCCCCGAGACGCCCUGCAGGGGCAGAACAAGUGCUCGGGCACCAAGCACAGCUCCUGGCACACAGGAACUCCUCAAGUAUAACCAGUCCAGGCUGAUGGUCAGAGAACGAGAGGCUGUGAGGAGCCCGACUGAGCCAUUCUUGCCAGUGGAGUCUCAGCCGACCUGCGCUGAUAACGGGAUCAUGGGCGAGCCCAAAUUAAAUCCAUGAGCCCUUCCCAUGUCGACAGAGCUUCCUGGCCAGUCCACAGACCCACGAGAGACAAUAAACAGUUGCUUUCUUAAACCACGAAGUCUUGGGGUGGUUUGUUAGGCAGCAAUAGCUAACUGAUAGUCAAUAGCCAUCUUCUGCUGCUACCUCCGAAGGAUCGUUUUCUAGUCCUUAUAGCAGAGACUUAUACAGGUUACCCCAAAUCUGUGUCCUUUUUCAUCAUAAGCAUACAGCUGUGCUAUAUGUUCUCACCUCCAUGUGUCCAUGUGACUGAGCUCUGGCGAACGGAAUACGUGCAGAAGCGAUGUGGGGCACUUCCAAGUCUGGAAGUUCCUGGAAUCCAUUUCCCCCAUCUGGCUGAAUGGAGAGACACUGAGGAGGGCAGAUCCAGAGUAUGGAAGACGCAGGGCUUCAUGCGUGACCGUGUGGAAGACCGCUACUCACCGGGAUCAUCUCCCGGUGCGAGUUUUGUGCAAGUGAGACGUUAACCUCAGUCGUGCCAAGUUACUGAGGCCCGGGGUUCAUUUGCAGCAGCUGGGGUUGUUCGCUGUCGCCACUGCUCUGCUCCUCUUACCUGGCCUCUCUGUGGCCCUGGGCCAUGCUGACCGCCCUCUCUUAUGGCAUUUUUUUCCCCUGGUUUCCUCGAUCUCCUACAUUAUAAUUUUCCCACACAUAUAUCAAUGGUUCUCCAUUACUUUCAAGACGAUAAGGUCCGGAAUUCUUAGCAUGCCUUUGUCUCUGCUAAUGCUUUUGUUUACCUCUCCGCCCUUCUGUCUCACCACCAUUGCCUUCUAACUCUGUGCCUUUAUAUAAACACGUCAUGCUCUCGUGUGCUCUGAGGUCUGAUAUUUGUUCUCUCUCCUGGAAAUAGUUUUCCCACUUUUUGCCCUACUAACUUUUGCUACCAUUUUGGAUCUGGUCUAUCAUUUGUUCCAAGAAUCCUGGGGCCCCAUGGCUGGGCGAACAGCCACUGUGGACUGUGAGGGGGUUCUGUGUCUACCCCAAUCCUAGGACUUACUGUUGUACCAGAGCUUUGCCUCUCCUCACCAGCGGACUCUAUGCGCUGAGCUAUUUUAGCCCACCGUGCUCACUAUUGCAUACGUAUCCUAAAUGCGCAAACCCACACAUGCCAUUUAGUCAUGCUAAUAACCAUUGAGUGAGUGCAUCAAUUAAUG